rnacentral:rRNA from 1 species
GAUGAACGCUGGCGGCGUGCCUAAUACAUGCAAGUCGAGCGAACAGACUAGGAGCUUGCUCCUCUGACGUUAGCGGCGGACGGGUGAGUAACACGUGGAUAACUUACCUAUAAGACUGGGAUAACUUCGGGAAACCGGGGCUAAUACCGUAAAAUAUAUUGAACCGCAUGGUUCAAUAGUGAAAGACGGUUUUGCUGUCACUUAUAACUGGAUCCGCGCCGCAUUAUCUAUUAGGUAAGGUAAGGGCUUACCAAGGCACAGAUGCGUAGCCGACGUGAGAGGGUGAUGGGACACACUGAAACUGAGACACGGUCCAGACUCCUACGGGAGGCAGGAGGAGGGAAUCUUCCGCAAUGGGCGAGAGCCUGACGGAGAAACGGCGCGUGAGUGAUGAAUGUCUUCGGAGCGUAAAACUCUGUUAUUAGGGAAGAACAAAUGUGUAAGGAACGAUGCACGUCUUGACGGUACCUAAUCAGAAAGCCACGGCUAACUACGU